rnacentral:rRNA from 1 species
AAUAGAUACCCAGGUAGUCCACGCCGUAAACGAUGAGUGCUAAGUGUUAGAGGGUUUCCGCCCUUUAGUGCUGAAGUUAACGCAUUAAGCACUCCGCCUGGGGAGUACGGCCGCAAGGCUGAAACUCAAAGGAAUUGACGGGGGCCCGCACAAGCGGUGGAGCAUGUGGUUUAAUUCGAAGCAACGCGAAGAACCUUACCAGGUCUUGACAUCCUCUGACAACCCUAGAGAUAGGGCUUCUCCUUCGGGAGCAGAGUGACAGGUGGUGCACGGUUGUCGUCAGCUCGUGUCGUGAGAUGUUGGGUUAAGUCCCGCAACGAGCGCAACCCUUGAUCUUAGUUGCCAUCAUUAAGUUGGGCACUCUAAGGUGACUGCCGGUGACAAACCGGAGGAAGGUGGGGAUGACGUCAAAUCAUCAUGCCCCUUAGACCUGGGCUACACACGUGCUACAAUGGACGGUACAAAGAGCUGCAAGACCGCGAGGUGAGCUAAUCUCAUAAAACCGUUCUCAGUUCGGAUUGUAGGCUGC